UGGGGAAUAUUGGACAAUGGGGGCAACCCUGAUCCAGCAAUGCCGCGUGUGUGAAGAAGGCCUUCGGGUUGUAAAGCACUUUCAGUAGGGAGGAAAAGCUUGAUGCUAAUACCAUUGAGUCUUGACGUUACUUACAGAAGAAGCACCGGCUAACUCUGUGCCAGCAGCCGCGGUAAUACAGAGGGUGCAAGCGUUAAUCGGAAUUACUGGGCGUAAAGGGCGCGUAGGUGGUUUGGUAAGUUGGAUGUGAAAUCCCCGGGCUCAACCUGGGAAUGGCAUUCAAUACUGCCUCACUAGAGUAUGGUAGAGGGAAGCGGAAUUCCACAUGUAGCGGUGAAAUGCGUAGAUAUGUGGAGGAACAUCAAUGGCGAAGGCAGCUUCCUGGACCAAUACUGACACUGAGGCGCGAAAGCGUGGGUAGCAAACAGG
rnacentral:rRNA from 2 species